rnacentral:rRNA from 1 species
UGGGGAAUAUUGCACAAUGGGCGCAAGCCUGAUGCAGCCAUGCCGCGUGUAUGAAGAAGGCCUUCGGGUUGUAAAGUACUUUCAGCGGGGAGGAAGGGAGUAAAGUUAAUACCUUUGCUCAUUGACGUUACCCGCAGAAGAAGCACCGGCUAACUCCGUGCCAGCAGCCGCGGUAAUACGGAGGGUGCAAGCGUUAAUCGGAAUUACUGGGCGUAAAGCGCACGCAGGCGGUUUGUUAAGUCAGAUGUGAAAUCCCCGGGCUCAACCUGGGAACUGCAUCUGAUACUGGCAAGCUUGAGUCUCGUAGAGGGGGGUAGAAUUCCAGGUGUAGCGGUGAAAUGCGUAGGGAUCUGGAGGAAUACCGGUGGCGAAGGCGGCCCCCUGGACGAAGACUGACGCUCAGGUGCGAAAGCGUGGGGAGCAAACAGG